rnacentral:rRNA from 1 species
UGGGGAAUAUUGCACAAUGGGCGCAAGCCUGAUGCAGCAACGCCGCGUGAGGGAUGACGGCCUUCGGGUUGUAAACCUCUUUUAGUAGGGAAGAAGCGAAAGUGACGGUACCUGCAGAAAAAGCACCGGCUAACUACGUGCCAGCAGCCGCGGUAAUACGUAGGGUGCGAGCGUUGUCCGGAAUUAUUGGGCGUAAAGAGCUCGUAGGCGGUCUGUCGCGUCUGCUGUGAAAACCCGAGGCUCAACCUCGGGCCUGCAGUGGGUACGGGCAGACUAGAGUGCGGUAGGGGAGAAUGGAAUUCCUGGUGUAGCGGUGGAAUGCGCAGAUAUCAGGAGGAGCACCGAUGGCGAAGGCAGUUCUCUGGGCCGUAACUGACGCUGAGGAGCGAAAGCGUGGGGAGCGAACAGGAUUAGAUACCCUGGUAGUCCACGCCGUAAACGUUGGGCGCUAGAUGUGGGGACCAUUCCACGGUUUCCGUGUCGCAGCUAACGCAUUAAGCGCCCCGCCUGGGGAGUACGGCCGCAA